rnacentral:lncRNA from 1 species
UCCAAAAACCCUGGUGUUUCCUGAGGUCUGUACAGCCGGUCACCUUGGACAGUACCGCCAUCUGCCCUGUGAUCCCUCACAUCCUCCCAGUCAACAUGAAUCCAGCUAGAUCUCAACAUUGUUGGAG